GAUGAACGCUGGCGGCGUGCUUAACACAUGCAAGUCGAACGGAAAGGCUCCUGCUUGCUGGGGUACUCGAGUGGCGAACGGGUGAGUAACACGUGGGUGAUCUGCCCUGCACUUCGGGAUAAGCCUGGGAAACUGGGGCUAAUACCGGAUAGGACGAUGGGUUGGAUGCCAUGGGGGGGAGUUUUUCGGUGGGGGAUGAGCUCGGGGCCUUUCAGCUGGUUGGUGGGGUAAUGGCCAACCAAGGCGUCGACGGUGAGCCGGCCUGGGAGGGUGUACGGCCACAUGGGGACUGGGAACCGGCCCGGAUCCCUACGGGAGGCAGAGGUGGGGAUAAUUGCACAAUGGGGGAAAGCCUGAUGCAGAGACGCGGGGUGGGGGAUGACGGCCUUCGGGUGGUAAACUCCUUUCGCUAGGGACGAAGCGCAGGUGACGGUACCGGAGAAGAAGCACCGGCUAACUACGUG
rnacentral:rRNA from 1 species